rnacentral:rRNA from 1 species
ACACUCCUACGGGAGGCAGCAGUGGGGAAUAUUGGACAAUGGGCGCAAGCCUGAUCCAGCCAUGCCGCGUGAGUGAUGAAGGCCCUAGGGUUGUAAAGCUCUUUCACCGGUGAAGAUAAUGACGGUAACCGGAGAAGAAGCCCCGGCUAACUUCGUGCCAGCAGCCGCGGUAAUACGACGGGGGCUAGCGUUGUUCGGAUUUACUGGGCGUAAAGCGCACGUAGGCGGACUAUUAAGUCAGGGGUGAAAUCCCGGGGCUCAACCCCGGAACUGCCUUUGAUACUGGUAGUCUUGAGUUCGAGAGAGGUGAGUGGAAUUCCGAGUGUAGAGGUGAAAUUCGUAGAUAUUCGGAGGAACACCAGUGGCGAAGGCGGCUCACUGGCUCGAUACUGACGCUGAGGUGCGAAAGCGUGGGGAGCAAACAGGAUUAGAAACCCUUGUAGUCCCAUGA